GAAUUUAGGUUCUAACCAAUUUACCUCCAUCAUCAAAGGGAUGUUCUAUGGCCUCCCUAAUUUGACUUUGUUAAACAUAAUCAAUAACAAAAUAAAAUCAAUUGAAGCCGAUUCGUUUAUUCAUCUCAUUGCCUUGACGGAACUGGACCUUACAGGAAAUCCUCUAACUGAGAUUGGGGCUAAAGCUUUUGCG